CUUUAAGUAAUGGAAACCCCCAGCGUAUUCAUUUUUUGCCGGAUAAUGGCCUAAAAUGGGAUUUUAAGUAGACUAUUACUGCAAAUAUAUUGAUAGUAAUGCUAACGGAAUAAGGAUUUCUCCCUCUUUAUUCCCCCAGUCUGGGAUCCUCUCCGCUCAGCAGUUAUUGAAGUGAGGAGAAGGUAUGUCUCCAUGGCAACCAGCCCUCUCUAAUCUUCCAAAGCAUCUCCGGAUGAGUUCCCGAGGAUGAAAUCUGCUACUAUCAAGGGGUGAAAUGUGACCUGGGCAUAUUUACUGAGAUGCAUUCAGGUAUGGAUCUCAUAAAUGUUGAGCUAAUGCUUUGAAUGGAAACAUAUAUAAACCUCUUUAUACUUUGGUCACAAUUUUUUAAAUGCCCCCAGAAAAUGCCAUAACUGAUAGUAGCUUGUCCAUUGUCACUCUACAGUUGCAAGGCUAAUAAAAGCACACAAGAGGGCAGUAUGGCACUG